UUUCACUGAGUCCCCAGUGCAGGAGAGCCCUGCGGGGUCAGCUGGCAGGCUGCGCCUCAGGAAUUCCUGGCUGGUCUGUCGCCAGUCGACCUGUGCGUGCACCUGCAAGAUGCUGGCAGGGCGGGUGGCGGCGGCGCGGGGAUGCAGUGCUGACGGCCGGUGGGGGUGAGCUAAGGCCUGCCCGAGUGGACGCGGACGCGGAUAGAGGACACUCCCCCCACCGACAAACUGUCUGUGACCUGACCAGGAAGUGGACCAAGGGGCAAUACCCACCCAGAUCCUGGAGGCAAGAAGCCAGCAGUUGGGAACAAAGAAUUUUCCAUGGCUCUGCAGUUAAGGAGGAACUGGACACUCUUUGGGGCCUCAAUUCGUCUUUCAUCCUCCUCGCCUUCCCUCAGAUUUCCAUCACUGGUAAUAUUUACGUUGGAAUUCUUCCCAGGACUUCAGGAACCCAGCAUGAGCAAGGGGAAAAGGAUACCAAAGAAAAGAGAUAGGUGUUAUUUUUUUAGAGGCGGUGUUGGCAAGUUUGUACUCUCAGUUAUAAAACAUAUUACAAAGCAGCAAGUAUCAAACCCAAAUGAUUCUGUGUUGAAAUCAGUUCAGCUGGGCUUCUGUCCAUUGUAAGACACUGCCUAAAUACAAAGAUAAGAAAGAUAUGGUCCCUUCCCUCAAGAGGGUCACAGCCUGGCUGGCACAUACCCAGGUAGCAGGUACCUAAGGGUAUGUGGUAGUUAAGAGUAUGCUCUCAGGAGACAGACCUGGGAUUAAACUGCUACUAGUUACCAGUCAUGUGAUCUUGGGCAAGUUACUAAAUGAGUCUCAGUUUCAUCCUUUGUAAAAUGAGAAUAAUACCAAGAUCCACCUCAGUGGACUGUCGUGAAUUUAACGAAGAGAAAACAGCAUUUUUAGCUGGCUACCCAACAAAGAUGCCCCUCUUUUAGCUCACAGAGCCUUGAUUUCACUCCAGGUAGCAAAGACUUCACCCUGGCACAGUGCAUGAAACAUGAGGGAUUUAAGCCCAUCAUGGGGAGACCCUUGCUCUUUGCCAGAUACUGGCUUUCUCAGUUCCCUGGCUGCUGAGGACAGCCAUGUGACCCGUGGCCAGUGAGGUGAAAGGGUCUUCCUAAAUAAAUUAUAGAGGAUGAUGCCUUUGCUUUCCUUGCUUCCUGUCCAUGAAGAGUUUUGAUGCCUGGAACUGCAGCAGCCAUUUUGUGGCCAUGAGGCAUCCAGCUUGAGGCUGAGAAAUUCACACUGAGGAUGGCCAUGGGGAAGGAGCUUGGAGUGGGGAGGCAUGGCUGAGCUGCAGAAUAGCCUGAGGUUGCCCACAUCUAUUCCUUGUUCUGAGAGAUGAUUUAAAAGCCUUUCAUCAAUACAAGUGGGAACUGGGUUAAGUAGCUGGUAAAUGGUUUGGGUCACUCCACUUGUCUAUGCACUCAGUGGGUAAGUGGGACAGAGUCAUGAAUCUUCUGGGCCCAAUCAUCUCUCAGGACCUCAGGGUGCUAAGAUGCCCCUGGGCAUGGGCUCCACUGGAGAAACCAAGACUGCCCCAAGCCUGCCAGGAAAGCUAGCAGGCUGGAACCACCAACAGGUGAUGGUAUCUGGCUCCCCAUCCCUUCUUGAAGGGUUUCAGGAAGAGUCAUUUCGCUCAUCUGCAGUUUUUGCUUUGUGCACCUGGGCUGUGCAUUUGAAUCAGAACUGCCAGAGGUGCCCAUUACCCAGCUGGUGCCCACUACCCAGCUGGUUGGAACAGCUGGAGGGAAGCCAGCAGAUGGAGGGGCUGACCCCCCACCAGAGGUUUCCCAGGGAGGACAAAGGGAGGAAAAGGGAGAAACAGGACUCAUUUAGAACCUAAUGAUUAAUUACAGCCUGAGUGCAUGAACCAAGCCUGUUCCCUACAAUAGGAUACCUGUGACCUCAUGCAGAUCCUGGUCCGGAGUCAUGGCAGCCUCUGGGCAUCUCCAGAGCUGGCUGCAUUUUGCCUCAAAUGUCAGCGAAAGGGUGUGAUAAAGGAUGGGACCCAACUAAGAUAAUCCCAUUUGGGGUCUUGGCCCCCAAGGCUUUCUGGUUAGCUUCCUGGGUUGUAAAUAUUCUGAAUUGUGGGGGGGGGGACAGUUUGCUGGUUUUUGUUCUUAUUUUUUAAACAAGAGGCAGUGUGUUGUGGAGGUGAAGAGCACAGGCCCUGGAGUUCCCAUUGUGGCGCUAGUGGAAACGAAUCUGACAAGGAACCCUGAGGUUGCGGGUUCCAUCCCAGGGCUCGCUCAGUGGGUUAACGAUCCGGCGUUGCUGUGAGCUGUGGUGUAGGUCACAGACGCGGCUUGCAUCUGGCAUGGCUGUGGCUGUGGUGUAGGCCGGCAGCUAUAGCUCUGAUUCGACCCCUAGCCUGGGAACCUCCAUGUGCUGUGGGAGUGGCCCCAAAAAGCAAAAAAAAGAAACAAACAAACGAAAAGAGCGCAGGCCCUGCUCUCCACAUCGCUGUCUGAGAAACGGGAGUACUCCACCUCCUUGGUGUCGCCAGCACUGAGCACGGGGCCUGCCCUACGGGACGGCUCCAGAGGUCUUCAGCCUUAGUGGUGUCGCUCUGCCAGGCAGAGCGAGGGGUUCAGAGCACAGGUAAGAAGGGGUUAAGGGACCCAGUGCCUGAUGACCUGCUCUUGAGGAGCUGUGGGGAAGGAGGCUGGGGCUCUGUCCCUCACCUUAAAAAUGACAAAAUAGUAGAACCCAGUAUCUGACCUGGAGAGGCGUCUGAGUCCUCUUCUUCCAUCUCCCUUUGUGCAGGUGGGACUGGAGAGGCCAGGGACGGUCCCGAGGAGAAGGAGCCAGCGCUUCCGCUGGGAAAGGAGUCCGAGUGUUGAAGGAACAGGGAAUGUUGUCAGCAAGAAGACAAAGGAGGGCCGAUGAAAACAAUACACAUUUGUGCGAUGACAUUUUCUGCCAUAAAUGUCAAGGGAACAGACACAGAACAGGAACCACAGAGUAGCCAUGGGACGGGAACCACGUGGGGUGGCGAUGGGGUGGCAGUAGCCACACACUCUUGCUCACCAUGGCAAUGCUGGGUCCUGGCACCAGCUUGACCCGUGUCCACAGUGGAGGGACAGCCCACCCCCCCAGGUGCGUGCGCAGCAGGCGGUUGCUGGGAAAGUAGAGGCUCUCCCUUGCAAGGAAAGAAAUGUUAAUUACACAGCCAGAGGCGACCCUUACAUGCCUAAUAAACUAAGGCAAAUUCAGUGAGAGUCAUAAAACCCGGUCCUGUCAGGGGGCAGAGGAAACAGGGGCCCUGGCAGGUGCUUGGAUGUGCUCAUUAAAACAUGGUCCUGUUUUUCUGGAGAGCAAGCUAGUCCCAUGCAGAUGGGCCCUACCCUCUGGUCUGGUCUUUCUAACUCGAGAAACUGAAAACUCUCACUGCCCCACUGCCUACCGCCACCCCCGUGCCUGCCGCCCAGGGGGAUGUUGGAACCGUUUCCCAGCCCCGCACUGAGCUGGGAUGUAUGCCCUCUUUUGUCCUCCUGAGCUGAGUGCACUCCGGAGCUUUCCCUCUGCCCCAGGGCCCAGCCCAGAUCCCAGUAGGUUCACAUUAUGAUGCCCUGAUGCCCCAGGGUUGCACAGUUAGGGGCAGACCUGACUCAAUUCUGAAGACCAUAGACUCUGCCAGCCAGCAGAGCCCCUGGGCACAGCCCGAGGAACCACAUGCCCAGUCAACUCGGACACCGGGCCCCUGCCGAUGGGGGAUCCCUGGGAGCCUGUGAAACCUCCAGGUGCUUCUGCUGCCUCUUCAGUAAACUAGGUCAUCACCGAACAUCUCCACCUGGGGACUUCCUGUGCUGCCCCUUCCACUUGGGAGAGAAGGGCUCCGGCUCUGGCUCUGGCUCUGGCUCUGGAAGGGAGCCCCCUGCAGGCUGCAGGGUUGGAGGGUGGCUUCUCUAGAACUUGGCUGGGGUUGGACAGGCAGGUGAGUGGUUGGGGAAGCUUCUGCCAGUUGCUGGAGAAUGUACCUGGCCUUCCCAGGGACAAAUUCUAGCUGUGGCCCUAAGCAGGGGCGGGGGUGCGCUUACUCCAAGGUGAUAGCGUGCCGGCUGCCAAUGACCAUGAACCCUCCAUUAGGGCCCUACUUCAGCUGCCUCUAUAAGAGUGCACCCUGCCCCCUGGGAAAAGGUUAAACAAAGUCUCCCCCAACCCCUCUUCUGGGGUCCUAGAAGGACCAGUUGAGAGAAGAUGCAGAGGAAGGAGAACGCUGGAAGGGAGAGUGGAAGCUGGGGUUCCCUCGAACACAGCUGUGGGGCCCAGGACUCGGGUCUCAGCCAGCUUCCCAUUUGCUGGGUGACCUUGGGCAAGUCUUGCUUGUCUUUGGCCUGCCUGCUUUUUUGAAGCAUCCCCUUCUCCAAGGGAACAAGGAGCACUUGCUAUAGAAAGGUCAGGCCUCCGCUCAACCCAGGGGCAGCCACACAGACCCGAGAUCAGACAGCAGCCCUGGGCUGCCCUCGGGGCCCCUCACCUUCACCCCCCACCCGCUCCAGCCUGCCCUUCCCCCCAGGCCUAGGGAGUGGAUGCCCCCCGGACCACACGUGCCAUGCAAAUUCUGGCAGAUCCCAGCCCCUCUCUGGACCUCAGUUUCUACUCUCGCACGGUGGCUGAGGGGUAGGGAUGGACAGGUGGGAUCAGGUGGUCCCAGAGGCUCUCCCCCUCCAGCCCCAGGCCUGUGGUCUUCUUACAGUUUCAGGCCGCAAUCUUGCCUCCACAGAGAGCAGCCGGCGGAGGUGUGGGGCUCCAUCCGACUUGCCUCUUUACGAUGCCUGAGUGGACAGAGCCCUGCCCAGCUGCUGGGCCUGGGCAGUCCCUGCCCUCUGGCCUCAGUCGCGUUGCUGGCACAGCAAGGGCCAGACAGGAUGGUCUCGGCAGCCCUUUGAGUCUCCCUCACGCCAGGGCCUCUUACGCCGCGGGAUCAGGUUGCACACCUCCACCCCUCCGCAGCCCUCGCCCUCCGGCGUCUCUCCUGGUUGGCGUCUUCCCCCUGAGCCCCCGAGCCCCUCUGAGUGUUCUUAGUCUAAGUGAGGAGUGAGUGAAGUAGGCCAGCAGGGAUCUUCCGGAGAAAAGGGGCGGUGACCUGGAAGGUCGCCAGUGUCCCACAGAGUCUGAACUGGAUGUGCUGGACAAGUGCAGUCUCUCAGUCGCAGGGGACACAAGCCUGAUUUAAACGGGCUGAGGCACAAAUGGGAAAUGAUUGACUCAUUUCUCUGAAAAGUCCAGGGAGUGAUACGGCUUCAGAAACAGCUGAAUCAAGGCCUCUCGAAUUAUGAGUUUAAGGCCAUGUCUCUUGGAGUUCCCAUUGUGGCUCAGUGGCAAAAAACCCAACUAGGAUCCAUAAUGAUGCAGGUUCGAUCCCUAGCCUCACUCAGUGGAUUAAGGAUCUGGCGUAGCCGUGAGCUGUGGUGCAGGUCGCAGUCGAGGCUUGGAUCCCGUGUGGCUGUGGCUGUGCCUGUGGUGUAGGCUGGCAGCUGCAGCUCUGAUUCAACCCCUAGCCUGGGAACUUCCUGAUGCCAUGGGUGCAGCCCUAAAAAGCCAAAAAAAAAAAAA
rnacentral:lncRNA from 1 species